CGGUUCCCUUCUCCGCGUACGUUGUCCGCUGCCCGCAGCCCGCCGCCAGCCCUCACCCGCGCCGCCGCCGUCUCUUCCAGCCCGGCCGCAUCUGCCUUGGUGCCCCUUUUGGAAGAGCGGGUCCGGGACGAGAUGAAAUGGCUGCCGGCUCCGGCCGCUGCGGCCGCCGCUUUGCCCAGGGGGCGCAAGGAGCUCUUCCUGGUGUUCACCAUGGCCCCGGGGAGGGGGACACGGGGGGGCCCCGCCGCCGCCGCCGCCGCCGCUGUUGCUGCCGCUGCCGCCGGCGCGGAGGGAGGAGGGAGGGCGGACAGGCGGGGGCUCGGGCAGGGAGGGGAAGGGAAGGGGAGGGGGAAGAAGGAGAAGUCCUCUGGGGACGCCGCUCCGCCGGGCAGAGACACCAGACAGAACCGCGCCGACUCCUCCCGCCGCUGCCGCCGCCUCCUCGGCUCAGCCCCGCACUAGCCGGCCGCCAUUACUGCCCCUUCUCCCUUUCUCUCCUCUCCGCGCCGCCACCCCGGCUGUUGCCGCGGGGGGGCGCUGCGGCGCCGCCGCCGCCGCGCGCAGGGCCGAGGCGGCCCCCGCUGCGUACGUUCUAGCACGGCGCCGGCGCCGCUCUAUGGGCCUGGCGCGAGCCGGGGGCACGGCGGGGGGGGGCGAGAGGCGGCCGGUGAGGUCCCCCGGGAGCGGGACGGCCGGUUGGGACGGCCGGGGGCGCCCCGCGCAAGCAGAGCGGGCCGGCUGCGGGGCGGGAGGCUGCGGGACAGCCGUCCUGUCAGGCUGAGGGCGGCGGCGGAGCUCUGGAGGCGCGCGGUCGCCGCUUCUGUCAGGCGGUGCCUCCCCCGGCGGGAUCCGGCCCCUCGGCGCUUACACCGAGGGAUCGUAGCGCUUCGGGGCCGGGCCGAGGAAGGGACGGCUGCCCGCGGCCGGGGGGGGGGGAUGGGAGGGGGCAGCGGCGACAGCCCCAGAGAGUGCCCCCGGAGCUCUGCUCAGCCACGGGACUUCGUGUCGGUCAGCGACACGGCUUACACGGACGGGGGUUAGGGAAUGCACCCCUUUGCGUGGAGAACGUAUUUCACAGCCUGCUGAGUUUGGCUGUGAAGGAAUCCUGACGGGCGAGCUGUCAGCGAUGCGCCCUGGCACUGCCCGCCGUGCGGCUCUCCCACAGCGCCUGCCUCAGCUCGCGUCCGAUGUCCAUUGCUCAGCACUUGGAAAGCCGAUUACUCUCUUGUCUCUCUCUCUUACCACAGAUCCAACAGUCACGUUACAGAGGGCCAAAGAUUUGUAUCUAUUACACUACGUCGGAUGCCUGAGCGCUUUUCAAACUGUUCACAAACACUGACGUGCAGCAAGAAAUCCUCCUUGUGCCACCAGCUGCUGGCCUUCAUUGAACUGAGACACAACGCAUUUAUUAGAAAAGAAGAUGAAUGUAACCAAAACUUAUACUGAGAAGAGGCGAGGACAUCUGCUGUGGCAGGUACACCACUGACAAAUUGGAAGACCAUGAAAAAGUGCUUGAGAAGAAUCCCUUUUGCUCAACGAGACUUGGGGAAUUAAGUCUUACUGGGACUCGGUGACAUAAAAAGACAUUAAAAGAUGAGCCAGGAUAAAGAAGAAUGGAAAUCCUUGUUUAUUCCAUAAGUAAGAUUUAAUGUCAUGGGAAAUACUUGGAGAUGGAAGAUUCUGUUGCCACCUGUUCCUGUUUUAUAAGGAAAUCAGGAACACAUGAUAACAAAAGAAAAAGUGCUUCAUCAUUUAUUAGAACUUUUGUAGAGACUUUCAUCCCAGUAGGGACCAGAGGGCUUUUUUCAGUGAAAUCCUAUUUGCUUCAAUCAUAGGCAAUUUAUCAGAGAUUACUUUGUAAUAUCUCUGAAUAGCUGUAACAUUCCAAAGAAUGGAAAUUAAAUCAUCUUUUCAGGACUCUACUUAUAAGCUCUUGUGUGCUUCUUUCUGUCAUGCUGUCAACUCAUCCUGGUUUCAGCUGAAUCUCAAAAUAAAUAGAUUCAGAAGAGAUUAUGCUUUUGUACGUGUGCUCUAUGUCCUUUCUUGAAAGAAUUUUAGGAAAUUGAGAUGGAAUGGCUUCUCUCUUGAGAACUGUCCACUGUGCAAAUAGGCCCUUGGGAAACAUCAAACGAGGGCAUGCUAGCCCGGAUUGGUCCCACCUUACACCUGAACACACAAAGUAAGUCCCUCCACAUUGCACGUGCUUUGCAGUGAUAUUAAAGUGACCCAUUCUUAAUAAUAACGUUUUAGAAAUUAACUUUGAAUGUUCGGUUCUAAUGUUCAGCUGAAUAUUGCUUUCCAAACUACGAUAGGUAACAUAACUGCAGCUUGAAGUGGUAUCAGAGAGCAGAUUUCUUACAUGACGUUAAAUAGGAGUGAUAAGAACUGCCUCCUGAUAUUUCAAAAUUAG
rnacentral:lncRNA from 1 species